UACGUAGGUGGCAAGCGUUGUCCGGAUUUACUGGGCGUAAAGAGCGCGCAGGCGGUUGAAUCAGUCGAAUGUGAAAGCCCCGGGCUCAACCUGGGAAUGGCGAUGGAUACUGGCUCGCUAGAGUGCGGUAGAGGAGAGUGGAAUUCCCGGUGUAGCAGUGAAAUGCGUAGAGAUCGGGAGGAACAUCAGUUGCGAAGGCGGCUCUCUGGACCAGCACUGACACUGAGGCACGAAAGCGUGGGGAGCAAACAGG
rnacentral:rRNA from 1 species